rnacentral:rRNA from 1 species
CGGGUGAGUAACACGUGGGUAACCUGCCCAUCAGAAGGGGAUAACACUUGGAAACAGGUGCUAAUACCGUAUAACAAUCGAAACCGCAUGGUUUUGAUUUGAAAGGCGCUUUCGGGUGUCGCUGAUGGAUGGACCCGCGGUGCAUUAGCUAGUUGGUGAGGUAACGGCUCACCAAGGCCACGAUGCAUAGCCGACCUGAGAGGGUGAUCGGCCACAUUGGGACUGAGACACGGCCCAAACUCCUACGGGAGGCAGCAGUAGGGAAUCUUCGGCAAUGGACGAAAGUCUGACCGAGCAACGCCGCGUGAGUGAAGAAGGUUUUCGGAUCGUAAAACUCUGUUGUUAGAGAAGAACAAGGAUGAGAGUAACUGUUCAUCCCUUGACGGUAUCUAACCAGAAAGCCACGGCUAACUACGUGCCAGCAGCCGCGGUAAUACGUAGGUGGCAAGCGUUGUCCGGAUUUAUUGGGCGUAAAGCGAGCGCAGGCGGUUUCUUAAGUCUGAUGUGAAAGCCCCCGGCUCAACCGGGGAGGGUCAUUGGAAACUGGGAGACUUGAGUGCAGAAGAGGAGAGUGGAAUUCCAUGUGUAGCGGUGAAAUGCGUAGAUAUAUGGAGGAACACCAGUGGCGAAGGCGGCUCUCUGGUCUGUAACUGACGCUGAGGCUCGAAAGCGUGGGGAGCAAACAGGAUUAGAUACCCUGGUAGUCCACGCCGUAAACGAUGAGUGCUAAGUGUUGGAGGGUUUCCGCCCUUCAGUGCUGCAGCUAACGCAUUAAGCACUCCGCCUGGGGAGUACGACCGCAAGGUUGAAACUCAAAGGAAUUGACGGGGGCCCGCACAAGCGGUGGAGCAUGUGGUUUAAUUCGAAGCAACGCGAAGAACCUUACCAGGUCUUGACAUCCUUUGACCACUCUAGAGAUAGAGCUUCCCCUUCGGGGGCAAAGUGACAGGUGGGUGCAUGGUUGUCGUCAGCUCGUGUCGUGAGAUGUUGGGGUUAAGUCCCGCAACGAGCGCAACCCUUAUUGUUAGUUGCCAUCAUUCAGUUGGGCACUCUAGCAAGACUGCCGGUGACAAACCGGAGGAAGGUGGGGAUGACGUCAA